GACAGAGGGUGCAACCGUUGUUCGGAAUUACUGGGCGUAAAGCGUGUGUAGGCGGCCAUAUAAGUCGGAUGUGAAAGCCCUGGGCUCAACCCAGGAAGUGCACUCGAUACUGUAUGGCUUGAGUACUGGAGAGGUUGGUGGAAUUCUCGGUGUAGAGGUGAAAUUCGUAGAUAUCGGGAGGAACACCGGUGGCGAAGGCGGCCUUCUGGACGGAUACUGACGCUGAGACGCGAAAGCGUGGGGAGCAAACAGG
rnacentral:rRNA from 1 species